AGGAAUUGGCGGGGGAGCACCACAGGGGGUGAAGCCUGCGGUUCAAUUGGAGUCAACGCCGGAAAUCUUACCGGGGGCGACAGCAGAGUGAAGGUCAAGCUGAAGACUUUACCAGACAAGCUGAGAGGAGGUGCAUGGCCGUCGCCAGCUCGUGCCGUGAGGUGUCCUGUUAGGUCAGGUAACGAGCGAGAUCCCUGCCUCUAGUUGCUACCAUUAUUCUCAGGAGUAUCGGGGCUAAUUAGAAGGACUGCCGCCGCUAAGGCGGAGGAAGGAGGGGGCUACGGCAGGUCAGUAUGCCCCGAAACCCUCGGGCCACACGCGGGCUGCAAUGGUAAGUACAAUAGGUUCCGAUUUCGAAAGGAGGAGGCAAUCCGCAAACCUUACCACAGUUAUGAUUGAGGGCUGAAACUCGUCCUCAUGAAUAUGGAAUCCCUAAUAAUCGCGUGUCAUCAUCGCGCGGUGAAUACGUCCCUGCUCCUUGCACACACCGCCCGUC
rnacentral:rRNA from 1 species